AUUAUUAGAUACCCGUGUAGUCCCAGCCGUAAACAAUGUGCGUUAGGUGUGUCGGUAUCCACGUGUUACUGAUGCGCCGAAGAGAAAUCGUGAAACGCACCACCUGGGAAGUACGGUCGCAAGGCUGAAACUUAAAGGAAUUGGCGGGGGAGCACCACAACAGGUGGAGCCUGCGGUUUAAUUGGAUUCAACGCCGGACAUCUCACCGGAUAAGACAGCUGAAUGAUUGUCAAUCUGAAGGUUUUACAUGACUGGCUGAGAGGAGGUGCAUGGCAAU
rnacentral:rRNA from 1 species